UGUUCACAGGAUCUCUGGGGUGUCAAUUU
rnacentral:piRNA from 1 species